UGGGGAAUUGUUCGCAAUGGGCGCAAGCCUGACGACGCAACGCCGCGUGGAGGAUGAAGAUCUUCGGGUCGUAAACUCCUGUCGAGCGGGACGAAACCCGUCCGCAUGAAUACUGCGGACGAUUGACGGUACCGCUAGAGGAAGCCCCGGCUAACUCCGUGCCAGCAGCCGCGGUAAUACGGGGGGGGCAAGCGUUGUUCGGAAUUACUGGGCGUAAAGGGCUCGUAGGUGGCCAACUAAGUCGGACGUGAAAUCCCUCGGCUUAACCGAGGAAUGGCGUCCGAUACUGGUUGGCUUGAAUCCGGGAGAGGGAUGCGGAAUUCCAGGUGUAGCGGUGAAAUGCGUAGAUAUCUGGAGGAACACCGGUGGCGAAGGCGGCAUCCUGGACCGGCAUUGACGCUGAGGAGCGAAAGCCAGGGGAGCAAACGGG
rnacentral:rRNA from 1 species